UCUCUCUCUCUCUCGGCGACUCAAGAUGCCAGAUCUCUUUCUCAUGUGUAUUGAACGGCUCCAUCUCCUCUCUAACACCACCGAUUUAAUCUCCGAUUUGAAGAUUAAAUCAGGGAGAUAUGACUUCGAAUAAGUUCGUUCUUCCGAUUCAACAACCAUCAGUGAAUCAAGUCUGCAAAGAUCGGUGGCUACGGAGAAGAGUUCCCGGCUGGUCCUAGGGUUACCCGCUACAGGUUCUGGUUUGUAACAACCAGCAAUGCAACAGCGUCCGGUUCAGACGCCGCCGGCGCAGCAACAGUCGGCUGACUCUCGUCGAAGAAGAUAAGUGUUGAACUUACAUUUUUAUAAUUUUAUUUGCUGUGUUCUGUUUAUAAUGCUUAAUUUUAUUUUUGUAAUGUUAUUUCAGUUUUGGAAAUUACAUUUUUAUUAUUUUAUUUGUCGUGUUCCGUUUAUAAUGCUUAAUUGCUUGUGAGGUGAUAAUGCAUUGAUAAUGAUACUCUGUGCUAAUGUUAUUUCAAGUUUGGUUUUAGGUAUCAAUUUCUUCUGAGAAAUCAUGAAAUUUCUCAGCUUUUUGUAUCGGGCUUCACACCUCGGAAAUUUGUUGUUAGCUUAUGAUGGAAGGAAGAGUGCGUUUGUUGCGGGUCCAUUGCCCUUUGAGUCUAAAGAGUUCGCCGUUAAAAUCACUGAGCAUGAUGGGCGGAAACAUGACUUCAGUGUUACAAUCAAGUUUGCUGGCAAAAAAGAUCUUCACUACCUGAAGCAGUUCGUGAGUAGCAGACAGCAUGAUGGUUUACUACAGGGUAUUGUUGGAUUUGCUAUUGGUCUUGCAGCUAUGGGGAAUCGCGCUAUAGUGGAAAUUCAGUUUGCAAAUUACAUUUUUCCUGCUUUUGAUCAGAUAUGUGUUGGGUUCUGGUGACCGAUGAAUUGAGCGACAGAUCUGGAGAAUGCUGAACACCAAAAUAGCUAAGUUUGAGUCAGAUUUGUGCAAAGGUGGUAUCAUUGAGCUCGAUGAUUAUCUUCAUGUGGCCGAGGAUACUCUUAAAGAGCUUGAAAAGCACAGUUAUGAAAAGCUUGAAAUUGAGAAAGAGAUGGACCAAUUAAAAGUGGAGUUGGAGAAGUUGCAAGAAAAGAUGAUGCAUGCGGAGACUUUGCAGAAAGCGAAAGAGGAAGAAAUUGUGAGAUUGGGUGUUUUUUAAGGAUUGGUGCUACUCUAAAUGUGGCAAAACUGAAAAAAGGCUCUUCGGUGGCGGUUUUCGGUCUGGGAAAACUUGCUGCUGCUGAAGGUGCAAGAAUUUCUGGUGCUUCAAGGAUUAUUGGGGUGAUCUCAAACAUUGAAGAGGGGCGUUUACAUGUAUAAAGUUAAGUUAACCUUAUAC